GCGAGUGAACCGGGAAAAGCUCAAAUUUGAAAUCUGGCUGUCUUCGAUAGUCCGAGUUGUAAUCUAUAGAAGUGUUUUCCGUGCUGAACUGUGUCUAAGUCCCUUGGAACAGGGUAUCAAAGAGGGUGACAAUCCCGUACUUGACACAAUCAUCAGUGCUCUGUGAUACACUCUCUACGAGUCGAGUUGUUUGGGAAUGCAGCUCAAAAUGGGUGGUAAAUUCCAUCUAAGGCUAAAUAUUGGCGAGAGACCGAUAGCGAACAAGUACCGUGAGGGAAAGAUGAAAAGCACUUUGGAAAGAGAGUUAAACAGUACGUGAAAUUGUUGAAAGGGAAACGAUUGAAGUCAGUCGUGUUCAUUGGAUUCAGCUAGUUCUUCUAGUCUACUUCCUUUGAACGGGUCAACAUCAGUUUUGUCCGGUGGAUAAAGGCAGUAGGAAUGUGGCUUCUUCGGAAGUGUUAUAGCCUAUUGUCACAUACACUGGGGGAGACUGAGGACUGCAGCUCGCCUUUUGGCCGGGGUUCGCCCACGUUCGAGCUUAGGAUGUUGACAUAAUGGCUUUAAACGACCC
rnacentral:rRNA from 1 species